AGGUGGAGCUGUAAGCAAUAUUAGAAAUGGAUAAAUGGAGGAAUUGGGUGGUGGAGGAGGAGAUGAGGGUAACAUUUAAUUUUAAACUAUCCCAUAAGAAGCAAAUACGACCAUCAGGGUGGUCAGAGUGGUUGGAUAGAAAUUUCCAGCCUGGAGCAAUGGUGGAGACAAUUCUGCUCAUGUUAGAUUCUUUGACAUGGGUUUCAAGAAGACAACAAAAAGGAGACCUGAACUCUUUGAUGAGCGACCUAACCGCAGCAUUUUUGGAAGGGGAAUUAAGGCCCUUGGAAUUCCACACAAUGCCUUGGGACAUUAGGCACAUUUAGAGGGCAAAUAAUGCUCCAGAGGAACAGUGUCGAGGGACCCAGGAGCAAGCCGAGAUCUGCUUCGCCUUUGGUAGGAGCAAGGAGCAGUUGGGUGAGAGGAUGCAGGGGCAAAAGGAGUCGGUUGUAACAGGCCUAGAGGGGUGGCAUUCUUCUAUCUGCCUUUUCUCAGAUUACGCUUGGAAUUGGCAGGGCAGGAGAGGUUGUCGGGCAAAGAAGAAGAGGCAGCAGUGUUGUGGGUCAAAAUGUUAUCCAAACCCAGGUCCAUAGGAGACUGGGCCUGGGUCGAGGGCUGGUUAAGUGAGAUGUGGUUCUGAGAAGGGUUAGGAAUUUCAAAAGGGAGGUUUAAGCGGAUGGACUCAGUAAUGGGUGUAGCAAGGAAGGAUGCUCUCACAGGUAACGGCCGAGAGACGACAGGCCCAUCAUCAAGGGUAGAAUGGGGCUUAGAAAUAGUGAUAGAGGCACGUGCUUCCUCCGAAAUGUCAAGUGGGGAGUUGCCGAGGGUUCCGAUAAAGGGGGGAAGGAGACCUUUUUAAGGAUGCCGACUUCGAAGUCUUCUUCGGUGCAGGAGAGGUCUCGGAGCAAGACUCGUCAAAGUUAGAAAGGUAAUCAUUGGUAGAAGCGUCUGAAGUAGUAGAAGAGGAGUCCGCAGAAGAGGAGCUACCGUCGAAGCUUUUUGAGGAAUCGUCUGACCCACAGACUGUAGACUUAACAGGGGGAGAUCGCACGUCACCAUCAAUCGAUCCUUUAAGCACUCGUGGAUCAACGAAGCUAUCGGUCACGUCUUCCAAGGCCGAAAAUCUGUUGUGACCAAUAAGCAAGAACCGAGCCAAGUUCGAUGGAUCUCCGGCGAUGGAAGGUGUUGGCCAACGGCAACCUGCAAAGCAGGCUUUCUUCUUCGAUUCCUCCCUCUUCCUCUCGCUGGUGACAGAAAAGAAGAUCCAAGGCCAUUCUCAGUCAUCAGGGAGUGAUCUCAUCGAUAGAUGGGCCCAAGGGGGCAGGGGUCGUCGGCGUUCGAGUCAUCCAGGGGGCAGUGGCAGCUUUCUUCAAACAAGCACUGGUGUCAUGCCCAAAAAUGUUGCAGACAAGGCAUUGAGGGGGCUUCCAUUCAUAAUGGACUGACUGCUGGAAGGAGAAAUCUUCUCCGUCCUAGACGCAGAUGGAGGAGGGAAGAGCAUCUACAGCAGUGACUCAACACAUAUUCGUUCAAAGGCAAGACAGUCUUUCCUAUUAGUCUUGCAUCAGAGCACACAGGGGUUCCCAAAACCGAACCAAUGGCACUCAAACCAUCUGAACACCAGAAAUGAAGGGGACAGUCCAAGGAGGGAGACCCAGAUGGGGAUGGUGGAGAAAUCGACUCGAUUCAACAAAAGAUGGACGUGCCAAGGUCUGAGAAACAUUGGAGUACGCCCAACAAACCAUGGACCCCUUUCCAGAAUUCUCACCUUAUCCUACUCCUUAGAGAACCUAAGCAUGAUGUAGCCAUGGUCAAGUAGGAAUGCAUCAACCAAGCCCACUGGUCGCCAUUGCCUCAAGAGGGACAUCUUGACAAGGUGGAAGGGAGGCGCUUGCCUAAGAAGUGUCCAACGAGGGAGUUAUUCCAUUGGGAUGCUUUGGAGUCCAAAAGACCCUUGGGGCAAACAGCAACAAUUGAUUCCCCAAGCUUGGUUAGAGGGACGAAGUGCAAUGGGAGGCUAUUGGCAGGAGGGGAGAAAGAUUGUUUGAAGUGGGAGUUCCAGGGGGCAGCAAGGGGGGAAGCUAGCAAUGAAGAAGGUGAUGAAGGGGAGGGAUCGAUGCUAGGGAUAGAGGAUCCCGACAAGGGGAGAGCCCCUGCCAAGGGGACAGCCAUCGGAUCAGGCUAGAGACUCCAUCGGUUCAGGCAAGAGACUUAACUCUCAGAAUGAGAACUAACAUAUCUUGUAGAAGAGCUUGAAUCUAAUGUGAGGUCAAGCGGUGUGAAUGGAGGUAUGUCGAUUUUGCAGUUGUCAGGGAACUAAGGACAUGCAUAAAUCAAGGACUAGCAUGUCAUAUGGGUGUAAUAAUGUGUGUGGCUGAGAUCAGUCAUUACUACUAAGAUAUGUGGCCAUGUUAGCAACACUAAGUGGAAAUCCGAUGUUGCAACUCAAUGGAUAAGAAUGGUUGAAUCAAUGUAAUGGGAGACUAUUGAGUAUGAACGAGAAUGUUAUCCAAUUGGCUCAAGGUACUGAUAAGUCAGGUGGUUGGAAUGCUGAAAAUGAAAAUAAGCCAAUACAAGAAUAGUAUCACUUAUAAGUUGCUGCUACUAGAGUGAGAUUGAUCCUCGAAGAUAAGCAACUCUGUAAAUUUCAAGGACAAAAUUUUUGUAAGGGGGGAAAUUUUAACACCCUAAACUGGAAGCAGUUGAGCUCAGUCUGAGGACCUACCUAGCUGGCACAUAAGAUAGGCUGCCUGUUGUAGUUGAUUCACUUAUACAGCAGAAGAGAGCGAAAUUUGGCAACCCUCUAGUUAGGAAGAGGUGUAAAAUGGCCAAAAUAGGAGUCGGACCAAUCCUAUAUUGGGUGCACUCAAGAACCCAGGAGAUAGGACAGCUAAAGAACUAAAAAUAAAUAAACCGGCAGGUUACCCUGUUGUCAACCAGCCAGCCGGUUUGGCUGACAGAAUGCGGGAAAACUAUUUUUCCUGUGGGGGGCCCACAUGCCUACACCCCUGAGCCUCGCACUUACCCAAUCUGUAGAGGACCUAAUACUGACCAAAUCCAACCUAACAGGUUAGCCUUUGGUGGGGUCCGUCAAUAAGAAUUUAAUUUUAAUUAGUUUUAAUGUUAUAUUUCUCAAAAUCGGUUUUUAAAAGUAAUUUUGGUGUGGUCAGCCAAAUGGGCCCUAAGGACCAUUUGGCUGAAUUAUAAAACAAUGGAAUCCCCUCUGUUACUUCAUUUUUCGGGUGCACUAUUCGGUGGAGCAGAAAAAGAAAGAAGAAGAAGAAGAAGAAGAAGAGAAGGAGCUGCUGUCCCUGCUCCUACAGCCUUACUCCUACUGCAUGCGGCUAUUGAUGCUGCUGACCCUGUUGUAGCUGCUGUCCAAGGGUUCAGUUACUACUUGUGCAGCUUAUCAAGGCCGAGGAUGGUGCGCUGAAUCGCAGGUUGCUGCACAAGGUGCUAAAAGGUGGGGCUUCUGCUACUACAUGCUUGCUGCUGUACCAACAAAAUUAAGAUGGUUGAACCGAUGCUGAGGCAGGAUUGGAUUUCAGCGGCGGUUGUGAGGCUUGUGUCUACAAGACACCAGGUUGCUGAUGGAUUUCGCUAUUGUUUCAGUUAUUUCUUUUGAUGUAUAUACUGAUGAAAUAUGCAAGAUGUAAAUAUUACACCUGUAGGUUGUUUACAAAUGAAUCUUGAAUAUCUGUAAUUUGUCACCUUAGUACAUCACUAUUGUUAUUAUUGUAUAA